UCUCCUACGGGGGGCAGCAGUGGGGAAUAUUGCACAAUGGGGGAAACCCUGAUGCAGCGACGCCGCGUGAGUGAAGAAGUAUUUCGGUAUGUAAAGCUCUAUCAGCAGGGAAGAUAAUGACGGUACCUGACUAAGAAGCCCCGGCUCACUACGUGCCAGCUGCCGCGGUUCUACGUAGGGGGCAAGCGUUGUCCGGAUUUACUGGGUGUAAAGGGCGUGUAGCCGGGUUGACAAGUCAGAUGUGAAAUC
rnacentral:rRNA from 1 species